rnacentral:rRNA from 1 species
ACGGAGGAUUCGAGCGUUAUCCGGAUUUAUUGGGUUUAAAGGGAGCGUAGGCGGGUUGUUAAGUCAGUUGUGAAAGUUUGCGGCUCAACCGUAAAAUUGCAGUUGAUACUGGCGACCUUGAGUGCAACAGAGGUAGGCGGAAUUCGUGGUGUAGCGGUGAAAUGCUUAGAUAUCACGAAGAACUCCGAUUGCGAAGGCAGCUUACUGGAUUGUAACUGACGCUGAUGCUCGAAAGUGUGGGUAUCAAACAG